CCUAACUUUCUCUCUGGGGGCUCAGGCUGCCAAGGCCUGAGUUCCCCCCAAACUCGAGGAGGGAGAGAAAGGGUUUCGAGACAGGGACCCCCUUUCCCCACAUUCCUUUUCCCAUUCUUCCCUGCCUGUUAUUCCUUUUGUAUUGCCUGAUUGAGUUGACAUUAAAAGUUAUCUGUUCCCCAAGCUGAGUGUGAGUGAAUGGAUAAAGGGGAGAACCUUGGUCUCGAGUAGUGGAGGGGGGACAAGAGGGACAAGAGUGAAUUGGGUAGAGCAGCUUUAGCUAAGGAGGAAAGGCAGAAGGGAGAAAAAUCUCCAAAUCCCCUCUCCUCUCUCUGAGCCAACCCAUUAUAUCUGCUAUCUCCCCUGGACCCCACUUUGAGAAGAGGGUUCUCCUCUCUUUCCCCCUCUCCAUACUGAAAGUUCAAACUUCCCAAUGGGGCAUAAAACUUCCCCUCAUUUAUCUUUUUUUUUUAAAUACAAUACACAGUACCAACAGGAACCCAUUGCAUUCCAGUUCAGAUUUGGCUCAGCAGGUAGACCUGGUGGAUCAUGGCCAGAUAUGAAGAGGAAAUGGAUCACAUUUUUGAAGAAUUUUAGGUAAAGAAAAAUGAUACCUCUCCAAAUCCAGAAACUGAACUUUUGGGGAAAACGCCAUGAAGAAGCCUCCAGACCACAAGCUGUGCAAGAAGAUCAAGAAUGAACUUUGGGUGUGGUUGAUUGAACAUUUAUUUGUAUCUAUACUUUCAUGCCAAAGGGGACUGCCCCCCUAACUAGCUUUUUGUCAAUGCGUCCAGCAAUUAUUGGUUUUGUUCUUUUUUUCCUCUUAUCCUCAAAUUAUUGUAAUCCUUAAGUUGAUUAUGUUUUCCUGAUCCUUUGGGGAAAAUCUUUUUCCCAAACGUUGGAAUGUAAAAAUGGAGAUUCGAACCCUGGACUUCAAUCCCCAGAAGUCCUUGCUCUAGUUCCCAAGAUGCCCUCUAAUCUCCCUGAAUCUCCCUGAGUGCGAGAUCAAAAUUUCUAUUUAAACUGGCAGUAAAGCUUACUGAGCUCUCUUCCUACUUCCACUUCUUAGCACAUGCGGCUCUCUACCUAGCAGGCAAGAUGUGAGUGGUUGUGAAUGGGCUCUCUGGGUCUAGACAUGUGCUUUCUUAUUUUGUAUUUUCUUUAAUUCUUAAUCUUUAAUAAACCUCUAAAAAUAUAAUACUUCUAGCAGAGAAACUAAUUUUAAGUGCUACAACACUGGGUUCAAAUUGCGGUGUGGCUUGUGGCAACAUUUUGGCAUCUUGGCAUGUGUCAGGUGAGGUGUCUUUCCUGAGCUCUCUCAGAGUUUAGGCUGAUUCCUUUUUUUUCCCUUUACCUUUCCUAAAACACUAUACUCUUAGGAGGCCCCUCAUUUCAUGGAAGCCUCGUGGCUGGAAGGUCUCUGAACUCCCCUUGGCUCAGGCUAGGCUGGAGAAAUUGUAUACAAUUUUCCCUCUCUUUUCUUCUUAAUUCCUUCCCUCUAUAUUAAUUAAACCACCACAGAAGUCCCAAACUGACUUGAGUAUUUUAAUUGGGAUUGAAUUAAAUCCCUGGCAACCAAUUAAAUUUAUAUAAAGUUUAAAAAAGUCUAAAUUUACCCCUUACACAAGUUGUUAGUAUUUGUAUUAGGAUGUUCAUUUAGAGUCUAUAUCGCCAAUCUUAUCCCCUCAACCCAUGUAAUCAAGCAGUUGUUUUUCUUUGGUGUUUCUACUACCACAGUUUUUCCUUUGAAUGUGGACAGUGGUCUUUCUCAUAGAUCCCUCCAAGUUGUUCAGGAUCACUGCAUUGUCACUAAUGGAGAAGUCCAUUACAUUUGAUUGUUCCACAGUGUAUCAGUCUCUGUGUACAAUGUUCUCCUGGUUCUGCUCCUCUCACUCUGCAUCACUUCCUGAAGGUUGUUCCAGUUCACAUGGAAUUCCUCCAGUUUAUUAUUCCUUUGAGCACAAUAGUAUUCCAUCACCAACAUAUUCCACAAUUUGUCCAGCCAUUCCCCAAUUGAAGGGCAUUCUCUCAUUUUCCAAUUUUUUGCCACCACAAAGAGCUCAGCUAUGAAUAUUCUUGUACAUGUCUUUUUCCCCAUUAUCUCUUUGGGGUACAAACCCAGCAGUGCUAUGGCUGAAUCAAAGGGCAGACAGUCUUUUAGCACCCUUUGGGCAUAGUUCCAAAUUGCCCUCCAGAAUGGUUGGAUCAGUUCACAACUCCACCAGCAAUGCAUCAAUGUCCCAACUUUGCCACAUCCCCUCCAGCAUUUAUUACUUUCCUUUGCUGUCAUGUUAGCCAAUCUGCUAGGUGUGAGGUGAUACCUCAGAGUUGUUUUCAUUUGCAUCUCUCUGUUUAUAAGAGAUUUAGAACACUUUUUCAAGUGCUGAUUAAUAGUUUUGAUUUCUUUAACUGAAAAUUGCCUAUUCAUGUCCCUUGCCCAUUUAUCAAUUGGAGAAUGGCUUGUUUUUUUGUACAAUUGAUUUAGCUCUUUAUAAAUUUGAGUAAUUAGACCUUUUUCAGAGGUUUUUGUUAUGAAGAUGUUUCCCAAUUUGUUGUUUCCCUUCUAAUUUUUGUUGCAUUGGUUUUAUUGGUAUAAAACCUUUUAAAUUUGAUGCAAUCAAAAUUACUGAUUUUACAUUUUGAGAUUUUUUUCUAGCUUUUGCUUUUAAAGCCUUUCCUUUCCCAACGAUCUGACAUGUAUACUAUUCUGUGUUCACCUAAUUUGCUUAUAGUUUCCUUCUUUAUAUUCAGGUCAUUCACCCAUUCUGAGUUUAUCUUGGUGUAGGGUGUGAGAUGUUGAUCCAAACCUAAUCUCUCCCAUACUGUCUUCUAAUUUUCCCAGUAGUUUUUAUCAAAUAGUGGAUAUUGGUCCCAAAAACUGGGCUCUUUGGGCUUGUCAUAGACUGUCUUGCUGAAGUCACUUACCCCAAGUCUGUUCCACUGAUCCUCCUUUCAGUACCAAAUUGUUUUGGUGACCAUUGCUUUAUAGUAUAGUUUGAGAUCUGGGACUGCAAGUCCUCCUUCCUUUACAUUUUUUUUUUCAUGAUUUCCCUGGAUAUCCUUGAUCUUUUGUUCUUCCAAAUGAACUUUGUUAUGGUUUUUUUCUAAUUCUCGAAAUAGGUCUUGAUCAAUGACACAUUUAAAACCCAAUGGAUUUGCUCCUUUGCUAUGGGAGGGGGUUUGGGAGAGGGGAGGGAAAGGACAUGAUUUUUGUAAUCUUGGAAAAAUACUCUAAAUUAAUCAAUUAAAUAAAAUUUAAAAAUAAAA